GACGAACGCUGGCGGCGUGCUUAACACAUGCAAGUCGAACGGAAAGGCCCUGCUUUUGUGGGGUGCUCGAGUGGCGAACGGGUGAGUAACACGUGAGUAACCUGCCCUUGACUUUGGGAUAACUUCAGGAAACUGGGGCUAAUACCGGAUAGGAGCUCCUGCCGCAUGGUGGGGGUUGGAAAGUUUCGGCGGUUGGGGAUGGACUCGCGGCUUAUCAGCUUGUUGGUGGGGUAGUGGCUUACCAAGGCUUUGACGGGUAGCCGGCCUGAGAGGGUGACCGGCCACAUUGGGACUGAGAUACGGCCCAGACUCCUACGGGAGGCAGCAGUGGGGAAUAUUGCACAAUGGGCGGAAGCCUGAUGCAGCAACGCCGCGUGCGGGAUGACGGCCUUCGGGUUGUAAACCGCUUUCGCCUGUGACGAAGCGUGAGUGACGGUAAUGGGUAAAGAAGCACCGGCUAACUACGUGCCAGCAGCCGCGGUGAUACGUAGGGUGCGAGCGUUGUCCGGAUUUAUUGGGCGUAAAGGGCUCGUAGGUGGUUGAUCGCGUCGGAAGUGUAAUCUUGGGGCUUAACCCUGAGCGUGCUUUCGAUACGGGUUGACUUGAGGAAGGUAGGGGAGAAUGGAAUUCCUGGUGGAGCGGUGGAAUGCGCAGAUAUCAGGAGGAACACCAGUGGCGAAGGCGGUUCUCUGGGCCUUUCCUGACGCUGAGGAGCGAAAGCGUGGGGAGCGAACAGGCUUAGAUACCCUGGUAGUCCACGCUGUAAACGGUGGGUACUAGGUGUGGGGUCCAUUCCACGGGUUCCGUGCCGUAGCUAACGCUUUAAGUACCCCGCCUGGGGAGUACGGCCGCAAGGCUAAAACUCAAAGGAAUUGACGGGGCCCCGCACAAGCGGCGGAGCAUGCGGAUUAAUUCGAUGCAACGCGUAGAACCUUACCUGGGUUUGACAUGGAUCGGGAGUGCUCAGAGAUGGGUGUGCCUCUUUUGGGGUCGGUUCACAGGUGGUGCAUGCCUGUCGUCAGCUCGUGUCGUGAGAUGUUGGGUUAAGUCCCGCAACGAGCGCAACCCUUGUUCACUGUUGCCAGCACGUUAUGGUGGGGACUCAGUGGAGACCGCCGGGGUCAACUCGGAGGAAGGUGGGGAUGACGUCAAGUCAUCAUGCCCCUUAUGUCCAGGGCUUCACGCAUGCUACAAUGGCUGGUACAGAGAGUGGCGAGCCUGUGAGGGUGAGCGAAUCUCGGAAAGCCGGUCUCAGUUCGGAUUGGGGUCUGCAACUCGACCUCAUGAAGUCGGAGUCGCUAGUAAUCGCAGAUCAGCAACGCUGCGGUGAAUACGUUCCCGGG
rnacentral:rRNA from 1 species